AAGCCAAUGGAAAGGGCAAAGCCUUAACAAGUCCUUAAAACACUCCCACGCGUCAAACAAAGAUUACCCCUCUUCUUAUCUAAAAUUAUUUAUCUCGUUCCUAACUU